CGCGCGGCCCGGGGGAGCCCCGGGGUUAAUGUCCCACAUCACCCCCUCCCCAAAAUCAGCCGCGCUGCCAGAGCCCCCCGGGGAUGAGGAGUUGGGGGUGGGGGUCCUCCUUCCCCCCCGUGCGGGUGACAGACGGACGGACAGACACACCCCAGACUCGCACACGGGCUGUGCCUCCAGCGGGUUCUGCAGGGGAUGCUGACACCCCUCCCGUGCUGGUUUGCCCUCCGCAGGUGCUUCCCCUGCCACACUGGCUCAGCUUGCCAAGGAAAAGAAGAACCUCACUGAUUGAUUCCCUUGGAUGUGACCGUCUGUCCCAGCAGCACAUGUCCCAUCCCUUGGCAUGUCCUGCACCACACCCCUGCUGGGGCACCCGUGGGACUCUGCCCUCUGCUCCUUGCACAUCCCACCAGCUCUGGUUUCAGUGGAUCACCUGCAGAACCAGGUCUGGUUUAGGUGGAUCACCUGCAGAACCAGGUCUGGUUUCAGUGGAUCACCUGCAGAACCAGGUCUGGUUUAGGUGGAUCACCUGCAGAACCAGGUCUGGUUUCAGUGGAUCACCUGCAGAACCAGGUCUGGUUUAGGUGAACCACCUGCAGAACCAGGUCUGGUUUAGGUGGAUCACCUGCAGAACCAGGUCUUUCCAACACUCUCCAACCCACGAGGAGGAAAAUCCCCUUGUCAGAUGCCCAGGAUUCUGUGCCACAGUCCUGUCUCUCAGCUCAGCAUCCUCUUUUUAACCACCCUCAUUUGCUGUAUCCAGUGACACAACCACAUCCACGCUCUCCUCAGCCCUCAAGAGAAAAUUCGGGUUUCCAGCCCUGCGGGUGUGCCAGCCUUUUGUGCAGGAGUAGCUGGACAAGGACCACACCUCCUCCCCCUCCUCUGUGUCGUGCUGGGCAGAGAAAAAGGCUGCCAGAACCCAAGAAAUAAAAACAGACAAAGCCAGGGCUGAGAUGUUCUGUUUCAGAGCAAUGACAGAAAGUGGAGGUGAGGCUAAAAUGAAUAAACUCCAGUUAUUGAUCCUGUUUGCUUGGAA